rnacentral:rRNA from 1 species
GACGAACGCUGGCGGCGUGCUUAACACAUGCAAGUCGAACGGAAAGGCCUCUUUCGGGGGGUACUCGAGUGGCGAACGGGUGAGUAACACGUGAGUAACCUGCCCUUGACUUUGGGAUAACUUCAGGAAACUGGGGCUAAUACCGGAUAUGAGCUCCUGCUGCAUGGUGGGGGUUGGAAAGUUUCGGCGGUUGGGGAUGGACUCGCGGCUUAUCAGCUUGUUGGUGGGGUAGUGGCUUACCAAGGCUUUGACGGGUAGCCGGCCUGAGAGGGUGACCGGCCACAUUGGGACUGAGAUACGGCCCAGACUCCUACGGGAGGCAGCAGUGGGGAAUAUUGCACAAUGGGUGGAAGCCUGAUGCAGCAACGCCGUGUGCGGGAUGACGGCCUUCGGGUUGUAAACCGCUUUCGCUCAUGACGAAGCUUUGUGUGACGGUAGUGGGUAAAGAAGCACCGGCUAACUACGUG